CUGCUGCUCUCACUCAAGAAAACUCUGGGGAUGGUGGGUAGCUGCCCCGCACUAUCAGUUUUGAAAAAGACUUUAAAACAGGGAGGGGAAUGAAUCUAGGAUGGGAGGAUGGUGUGGACAAGUGAGCUCCAAAGGUGAAGCUUAGACCCGAGGAGGUGGAUACAGAAGGAUCUCUGGGUCUCACGGGGACCCCUAAAAGAUCUGUGGGUGCUAGAGGGUGGGUCCUUCUUUUCUGUAGUCACAAUAGUUGUAACUUAUGCCCCCCUUGAGCAGACCUGAAGAGGCAGAUGUACAAAGCAGUCGAACACUUUCUGUACUUACAAUCACGAACCACUCCGUCACUUUAGCAUGUGCUAGAUGGGUGCCUUCCACAGUUCUUGCACAUUUAAGGUCACAGUGACUGUUAUACAGUGACAACUGUUAUUCCCAUGUGAUGAAGGUGGAACUGAAGCCCAGAGAGACACAGGGAAGGACUUUCAUGAAUGAUAGUCCAGCUGGCAGAUGGCGGUGAGAAUCCCUAGGCUGCUCUGAGCCUGGGGUGGGUGUGUUAGGAGGACUUGAACAAAGGCCCGCCUCCCUCCAGCCUGUGCUUCUUCCGCCCCAGGCUUUCCGGGCUUUUUGUGCCGAAACAAGCACUUGUUUGUAUUGUGAGGCUUGUUUUUGUGCUGUGGUGCUGAGGGAAACACCAAGAGCUGGGAUGUAACAGACACCAUAUCCACCGUCAGGACAGUUCAUGCUCUAAUUCCCAUGUCCAUUACAUCAGCCAGCGGAUAAAGUGGAGACCUGAUGGGGUCAGCUGACUCACCAAGGCAAACGUCUGGGUACCAAAGAUGAUGCAGUCAGGAAGAUGCUGGAAGAGGAUAUUCAACAGACUGAUGGAGCUAGCCGGACCUAGUGGUGCAAGCCUAUGAUCCAAGCUAUCUGAGUGGCUGAGGCAAGAGGAUCAUCGGUUCAAGUCCAGCCUGGGCUACAGAAUGAGGUCAAGACCAGUCUGGGCAAUUUAUCCCUCCCUGCUCACUCCUCCAUUACAGAAAUUUUAUUUAUGUCACUGGCCUAUUGGUUAAUUGCAAAGAGGUGGAGUUUCCAUUCAGCUGGGUGGAAUGGAUCAGCAAGCAAGCCUUGGAGGACCCAGGAGAGGAGAGAGUGGCCCAAGGGACGACGAGGGCCUGAAGGUUGCAGGGCCGCUUUUGGGCUUUUGGAUGCCAGGAACCGACCAGCCGCGGGAUGCUCUCGCCAUAACUUGGAUCCCUCUCAGGUUUUCCUUUCCUUUAAUAUUUGUGCACAAGAUUUGUU